CCUACGGGCGGCAGCAGUGAGGAAUAUUGGUCAAUGGGCGCAAGCCUGAACCAGCCAAGUCGCGUGAGGGAUGACGGUCCUAUGGAUUGUAAACCUCUUUUGUCGGGGAGCAAGGCCCGCCACGUGUGGCGGGAAGGAGAGUACCCGAAGAAAAAGCAUCGGCUAACUCCGUGCCCGCAGCCGCGGUAAUACGGAGGAUGCGAGCGUUAUCCGGAUUUAUUGGGUGUAAAGUGUGCGUAGGCGGAAGGUUAAGUCAGCGGUCAAAUGUCGGUGCUCAACACCUGCCUGCCGUUGAAACUGGGCUUCGUGGGAGAGCGAGAAGUAUGCGGAAGGCGUGGUGUAGCGGUGAAAUGAAUGGA
rnacentral:rRNA from 1 species